rfam:Felis catus isolate Cinnamon breed Abyssinian chromosome A1, whole genome shotgun sequence.
GCCUGGGUGGCUCAGUCAGUUGAGCAACUGACUUCGGCUCAGGUCAUGAUCUCAUGGUUUGUGGGUUCAAGCCCCGCAUCAGGCU